GACGUAGGGCGCGAGCGUUGUCCGGAUUUAUUGGGCGUAAAGAGCUCGUAGGCGGCUUGUCGCGUCGUUCGUGAAAACCCGGGGCUCAACUCCGGGCUUGCGGGCGAUACGGGCAGGCUAGAGUUCGGUAGGGGAGACUGGAAUUCCCGGUGUAGCGGUGAAAUGCGCAGAUAUCAGGAGGAACACCGGUGGCGAAGGCGGGUCUCUGGGCCGAUACUGACGCUGAGGAGCGAAAGCGUGGGGAGCGAACAGG
rnacentral:rRNA from 1 species